UGGCAUAAUAAAGGAGAUCAUGGGGUCAUAUUCAUCUAAUUCUCAUAGAACAGAUAGUUAACCCCAGAGGAGUGAAACUGGGAAUACAUGGCGAAUUAGCUUCCAUUAUUUGCUAAUUUACUUUGUGUUCUCAGGUCACCCCUUUGGGGCACUCUGCUUUCACUUUUUCAUCAUUCAAUCUUACUCUCGAUCUUCCCUCUAUAUUCAUGUAUAGAUGAUGCAGAUUCGUGCAACUCAAGUGUUUGCAGCAGUUUCUUUUCUGUAUACUAUAUGGAUGAUUCAGAGCUGUUUGACAGUUUUUUAUUUUCUCUAAGGAAGCCCAGACGUGAUAUUUCUAGUCAGUUUUUUAAAAUCUUAGUGAAAGAUUAGGGUUAUUAUUAUUGAGAUGGAGGGUUUCUUCAAAAAAAAAAAAGAAAAAGAAAAAACAGGGUUAAGUGUAUGAUCUGACUUUCAUGGUGCAAAUCAUCACCGUUCAUUCUUUUUUCAUUUAA